AUGUAUAUAUAUAUAUAUGUAUAUAUAUAUAUAUAUAUAUAUAUAUAUAUAUAUAUAUAUAUAUAUAUAUAUAUAUAUAAAAUUCUAGGUUUAUCUGUUAUGUGCCAUUCGUAUGGCUUAGGUCAUAUUUUCUGCUUUGCUGUGAGCAAAGCAUGCAUUUAUUUAUUUAUCACUUAUUUCUUAUUUAUUUCUUUUAGUCUCUUGCAGUGUCAUUCCUCACCUUCAUCCUUAUCCUGGAUCAAGGGAAUUUUUCUAAAUGAGCUGGACAAACAGAGGGAAUGGAGAGCUGGAUGACCUUUGGUCAGUUCACAGAUGCCCUGUGUUCCCCAUACAGCCUCACUUCACCCUGGAGACCAGGGGAACCCAGCAGAACCCUCAAACAGAGUGACAGAAGCUACGAGCGUUAAGCCAGUUACAAAAAACACAGGAAGAAGUCCACUGUACCCACAAGGCCACAGUGGCGAGUAAUUACACUGCAGUUAGUGUCCCUUUAUAUAAGUUACUGAAUUGCUGCCGACAUGAAAAAAACAAAAAACACAACCCCUGACAUUCUUUCAGGACCUGGAAUGAAAUAAAGAGUGGGAGUGAACAAAAGGAGAGGCGAGAGUGUGAAAGAAAGGAAUUUUGUUUGUUAUGGUCUUAAAAAGACCACUGGUGCACACUUUCAUGGAAAGAACAAAGAAUGUCAUAAUUUCAAAAUGCAGCUGACCAGGUCUCUAUGCCUUGAGCUUCUCAAAAAUUUGGCAAGAUGUUUUUUAAGGCUUGGUGUUACAUGUUAAAUCACUGAUAUAAAGUCCAAACGUCUGACCACUAAUAUUCCAUUAAUUUUUGGAACUGAUUGAUCAUAGGCCUCACUGAUCUGAGCUGACGCACCUUCUGAGCCAAAAUUAUCCACAAAUAAUGCUUUUUUCACUCCUAAACUGAGGUGCAUAAGCUCAGAUCAUUGAGGCCUGUGAUCAUCCCAUUCCAAAAAGAAAUAUAAAUCCUGUACAAUUUGAAAGAAAACAAGUUGAUUAAAAGACUGAAUCCAAGAUUUGGUGAUAAUAUAGCAUAAUGAGAGAUUUACAAGCAAUCGUUUUUGACCAGAACACCAAAUAAAGCACAGCACAAGGGUUAAACAUAGGCAUUUUUAGGAAUUUUGAAACCUUUAAAACACAGUAACAUGAU
ensembl:lncRNA